UACGUAGGGUGCGAGCGUUAAUCGGAAUUACUGGGCGUAAAGCGUGCGCAGGCGGUUAUAUAAGACAGAUGUGAAAUCCCCGGGCUCAACCUGGGACCUGCAUUUGUGACUGCAUUGCUUGAGUAUGGGAGAGGGAGGCGGAAUUUCAGGUGUAGCGGUGAAAUGCGUAGAUAUCUGAAGGAACAUCAGUGGCGAAAGCGGCCUCCUGGACCAAUACUGACGCUCAAGUGCGAAAGCGUGGGGAGCAAACAGG
rnacentral:rRNA from 1 species